rnacentral:rRNA from 1 species
UUAUGGAGAGUUUGAUUCUGGCUCAGAACGAACGCUGGCGGCGUGGAUAAGACAUGCAAGUCGAACGGAUUUUCUGGUGUAGCAAUACAUCGGGGAGUUAGUGGCGCAAGGGUGAGUAACACGUGGGCAACCUGCCCGGAAAUGGGGGAUAGCCCGCCGAAAGGCGGAUUAAUACCGCAUAUGACAAGGGAUGGCAUCAUUCCGAAGUCAAAGUUGGUGAAAGCUAACGUUUCCGGAUGGGCCCGCGGCCUAUCAGCUAGUUGGCGGGGUAACGGCCCACCAAGGCAAUGACGGGUAGCUGGUCUGAGAGGACGACCAGCCACACUGGAACUGAGACACGGUCCAGACACCUACGGGUGGCAGCAGUCGAGAAUUUUUCUCAAUGGGCGAAAGCCUGAAGGAGCGACGCCGCGUGGAGGAUGAAGGUCUUCGGAUUGUAAACUCCUGUCAUGAGGGAGCAAGACACUACGUUAACUGCGUGGGUGUUUGAUAGUACCUCAAGAGGAAGAGACGGCUAACUCUGUGCCAGCAGCCGCGGUAAUACAGAGGUCUCAAGCGUUGUUCGGAUUCAUUGGGCGUAAAGGGUGCGUAGGCGGCUAGGUAAGUCAGAUGUGAAAUUCCGGGGCUCAACCUCGGAACUGCAUUUGAUACUGCUUGGCUAGAGUACUGGAGAGGAGACUGGAAUUUACGGUGUAGCAGUGAAAUGCGUAGAUAUCGUAAGGAAGGCCAGUGGCGAAAGCGAGUCUCUGGACAGUAACUGACGCUGAUGCACGAAGGCUAGGGGAGCAAACGGGAUUAGAUACCCCGGUAGUCCUAGCAGUAAACGGUGCACGUUUGGUGUGGGAGGAAUCGACCCCUUCCGUGCCGGAGCUAACGCGUUAAACGUGCCGCCUGGGGAGUACGGUCGCAAGAUUAAAACUCAAAGAAAUUGACGGGGGCCCGCACAAGCGGUGGAGUAUGUGGCUUAAUUCGAUGCAACGCGAAGAACCUUACCUAGGCUUGACAUGCAUCUCUAAGUUGGUGAAAGCCAGCGAGUGUAGCAAUACACAAUUUGCACAGGUGCUGCAUGGCUGUCGUCAGCUCGUGUCGUGAGAUGUUGGGUUAAGUCCCGCAACGAGCGCAACCCCUGUGGUUAGUUACCAGCCGCGAAAGCGAGGAACUCUAGCCAGACUGCCCUGUGAAACGGGGAGGAAGGUGGGGAUGACGUCAAGUCAGCAUGGCCCUUACGCCUAGGGCUGCACACGUACUACAAUGCUCAGUACAGAACGAACCGAAGCCGCGAGGCGGAGGAAAUCCCAAAAACUGAGCCCAAUUCGGAUCGCAGGCUGCAACUCGCCUGCGUGAAGCCGGAAUCGCUAGUAAUGGCGUAUCAGCUACGACGCCGUGAAUACGUUCCCGGGCCUUGUACACACCGCCCGUCACAUCAUGGGAGUCGCCUGUACCCGAAGUGCAUGAGCUAACCGCAAGGAGGCAGUGCCCGAAGGUAUGAGUGGUAACUGGGAUGAAGUCGUAACAAGGUAGCCGUAGGGGAACCUGCGGCUGGAUCACCUCCUUUCUA